rnacentral:rRNA from 1 species
AUGGUUAUUACUCAUCAACUUGGUCGUGCUCAUGUGGACUAUUUAUUUCCAACAACGCCAUCAAACCAUCAGAGGUUCCUCGCCGGUUUCCUUUUGCUGCACCUUUGUUUGGUUGCUCAUUUGGUCAUGGAAUUCGAGCCUCUUUCAGGCAAUGAAGGAUCAGUACACGCCCAAUCUUUCGUGGCCUCCUCUCACAAGAACUUCUACAUCGCUGGUUGGAUUGGAUAUUCACAGAACUUGAUAUCAUAUACUUUGGGCAUUGCUGAAACAACUGAAUGUCAAAGCUACAUGCUUUCUUUUGAUUGUUGUAGCCAUCCUUCAUCGCCAGAGCCAUGGGGUGCCUAUGGGCUGUCCAUUUGUGUGGAUGUAUUUAGCUGUGGCGUUUAUGGCAGCUGCAGCAGCUUGUCAAUUAGUUCUUAG